rnacentral:rRNA from 1 species
UACAGAGGUCUCAAGCGUUUGUUCGGAUUCAUUGGGCGUAAAGGGUGUGUAGGUGGCGCGCUAAGUCGGGUGUGAAAUUUCGGAGCUUAACUCCGAAACUGCAUUCGAUACUGGCGUGCUUGAGGACUGGAGAGGAGACUGGAAUUCAUGGUGUAGCAGUGAAAUGCGUAGAGAUCAUGAGGAAGACCAGUGGCGAAGGCGGGUCUCUGGACAGUUCCUGACACUGAGGCACGAAGGCCAGGGGAGCAAACGGG